GAUCAUGGCUCAGAUUGAACGCUGGCGGCAUGCCUUACACAUGCAAGUCGAACGGCAUCGCGGGAAAGCUUGCUUUCCUGGCGGCGAGUGGCGAACGGGUGAGUAACACAUCGGAACGUACCGGCUAGUGGGGGAUAACCCGUCGAAAGACGGGCUAAUACCGCAUACGCUCUUCGGAGGAAAGCAGGGGACCUUUGGGCCUUGCGCUAGCCGAGCGGCCGAUGUCCGAUUAGCUAGUUGGUGGGGUAAAGG
rnacentral:rRNA from 1 species